rnacentral:rRNA from 1 species
UACGUAGGUGGCAAGCGUUGUCCGGAAUUACUGGGCGUAAAGAGCGCGUAGGCGGGGAUUUAAGUCAGGAGUGAAAACUGCCGGCUCAACUGGCAGCCUGCUCUUGAAACUGGAUUUCUUGAGGGUAUGAGAGGAAAGCGGAAUUCCCAGUGUAGCGGUGAAAUGCGUAGAUAUUGGGAGGAACACCAGUGGCGAAGGCGGCUUUCUGGCAUACAACUGACGCUGAUGCGCGAAAGCGUGGGGAGCAAACGGU